rnacentral:rRNA from 1 species
ACGCUCGACACCUACGGAGCAGCAGUGGGGAAUAUUGCACAAUGGGGGAAACCCGUGAUGCAGCGACGCCGCGUGAGCGAAGAAGUAUUUCGGUAUGUAAAGCUCUAUCAGCAGGGAAGAAACUGACGGUACCUGACUAAGAAGCACCGGCUAAAUACGUGUCAGCAGCCGCGGUAAUCUGAGCGGGCUGGCAAGGC